CUGGCUCAGGAUGAACGCCGGCGGUGUGCCUAAUACAUGCAAGUCGUACGCACUGGCCCAACUGAUUGAUGGUGCUUGCACCUGAUUGACGAUGGAUCACCAGUGAGUGGCGGACGGGUGAGUAACACGUAGGUAACCUGCCCCGGAGCGGGGGAUAACAUUUGGAAACAGAUGCUAAUACCGCAUAACAACAAAAGCUGCAUGGCUUUUGUUUGAAAGAUGGCUUUGGCUAUCACUCUGGGAUGGACCUGCGGUGCAUUAGCUAGUUGGUAAGGUAACGGCUUACCAAGGCGAUGAUGCAUAGCCGAGUUGAGAGACUGAUUGGCCACAAUGGAACUGAGACACGGUCCAUACUCCUGCGGGAGGCAGCAGUAGGGAAUCUUCCACAAUGGGCGCAAGCCUGAUGGAGCAACACCGCGUGAGUGAAGAAGGGUUUCGGCUCGUAAAGCUCUGUUGUUGGAGAAGAACGUGCGUGAGAGUAACUGUUCACGCAGUGACGGUAUCCAACCAGAAAGUCACGGCUAACUACGUGCCAGCAGCCGCGGUAAUACGUAGGUGGCAAGCGUUAUCCGGAUUUAUUGGGCGUAAAGCGAGCGCAGGCGGUUGCUUAGGUCUGAUGUGAAAGCCUUCGGCUUAACCGAAGAAGUGCAUCGGAAACCGGGCGACUUGAGUGCAGAAGAGGACAGUGGAACUCCAUGUGUAGCGGUGGAAUGCGUAGAUAUAUGGAAGAACACCAGUGGCGAAGGCGGCUGUCUGGUCUGCAACUGACGCUGAGGCUCGAAAGCAUGGGUAGCGAACAGGAUUAGAUACCCUGGUAGUCCAUGCCGUAAACGAUGAGUGCUAGGUGUUGGAGGGUUUCCGCCCUUCAGUGCCGGAGCUAACGCAUUAAGCACUCCGCCUGGGGAGUACGACCGCAAGGUUGAAACUCAAAGGAAUUGACGGGGGCCCGCACAAGCGGUGGAGCAUGUGGUUUAAUUCGAAGCUACGCGAAGAACCUUACCAGGUCUUGACAUCUUGCGCUAACCUUAGAGAUAAGGCGUUCCCUUCGGGGACGCAAUGACAGGUGGUGCAUGGUCGUCGUCAGCUCGUGUCGUGAGAUGUUGGGUUAAGUCCCGCAACGAGCGCAACCCUUGUUACUAGUUGCCAGCAUUAAGUUGGGCACUCUAGUGAGACUGCCGGUGACAAACCGGAGGAAGGUGGGGACGACGUCAGAUCAUCAUGCCCCUUAUGACCUGGGCUACACACGUGCUACAAUGGACGGUACAACGAGUCGCAAGCUCGCGAGAGUAAGCUAAUCUCUUAAAGCCGUUCUCAGUUCGGACUGUAGGCUGCAACUCGCCUACACGAAGUCGGAAUCGCUAGUAAUCGCGGAUCAGCAUGCCGCGGUGAAUACGUUCCCGGGCCUUGUACACACCGCCCGUCACACCAUGGGAGUUUGUAACGCCCAAAGUCGGUGGCCUAACCUUUAUGGAGGGAGCCGCCUAAGGCGGGACAGAUGACUGGGGUGAAGUCGUAACAAGGUA
rnacentral:rRNA from 1 species